rnacentral:rRNA from 1 species
AGAACGAACGCUGGCGGCAGGCCUAACACAUGCAAGUCGAACGCUCGUAGCAAUACGAGAGUGGCAGACGGGUGAGUAACACGUGGGAACCUUCCCUAUGGUUCGGAAUAGCUCAGGGAAACUUGGGGUAAAUACCGGAUAAGCCCUUCGGGGGAAAGAUUUAUCGCCAUUGGAUGGGCCCGCGUCGGAUUAGCUAGUUGGUGAGGUAACGGCUCACCAAGGCAACGAUCCGUAGCUGGUCUGAGAGGAUGAUCAGCCACACUGGGACUGAGACACGGCCCAGACUCCUACGGGAGGCAGCAGUGGGGAAUAUUGGACAAUGGGCGCAAGCCUGAUCCAGCCAUGCCGCGUGAGUGACGAAGGUCUUCGGAUUGUAAAAACUCUUUUGGCGUGGACGAUAAUGACGUACCGCAGAAUAAGCCCGGCUAACUUCGUGCCAGCAGCCGC